AUUGAACGCUGGCGGCAGGCUUAACACAUGCAAGUCGAGCGAGCGGCGGACGGGUGAGUAAUGUCGGGGAAACUGCCUGAUGGAGGGGGCUAACGACUGGAAACGGUAGCUAAUACCGCAUACCAUCAGAUGUGCCCAGAUGGGAUGAGCUAGUAGGGGGGGUAAUGGCUCACCUAGGCGACGAUCACUAGCUGGUCUGAGAGGAUGACCAGCGACACUGGAACGGCGGCACGGUCCAGACUCCAACGGGAGGCAGUAGUGGGGAAUAUGGCACAAUGGGCGGAAGCCUGAUGCAGCGACGCCGCGUGUGGAAUGUCGGCCUUCGGGUGGUGAACUCCUUUCGCCAUCGACGCGGUAGAUGGAGAAGAAGCACCGGCUAACUACGUGCCAGCAGCCGCGGUAAUUC
rnacentral:rRNA from 1 species